rnacentral:lncRNA from 10 species
ACAGGUACAACCCAGGCAAUACAGAUGUGCUGGGUAGGAGUAAGUAGAAAGAAGAACAAGGAAAUGGUGAACACAAGCUUCGGGAUGAUGGUUACGCCUGGCAAGGCAGGAAGAGAGUGAGCCAUGAAAAGGUAAGUGAAAGAGAAGAAAAGACACACAACUGAUCUCCAAAUGCAGAAAGAGGACAAGGCUCUGAGUCAAACAGCCCCGGUUUCAGUCCUGGCUCUAGCACCUACCCACUCCUCACGUGCGGGGCAGAAUCGACUCCUAUGAGAACCAGGAAGCAUUAUCGAGCACUUCUGUGUUUUUAUCGUUUGCUGACUACCAAGAACCGUAACAUGCCCUCACUCGUUUGCAAGGGCUGGCUGGGAAACCUUUGUGAUCAUUUGUAAGAGUCAAGUAACAAAGUACAUUCAUGCCAGGCAGAGUGGCUCACACCUAUAAUCCCAACACUUUGGGAGGCCAAAGUGGGAGGAUUUCUUGAUUCCAGGAGUUCAAGACCAGCCUGGGCAACAUAAGAGAGACUCCAUCUCUACAAAUAAUUUAAAAAUUAGCUGGGCGUGGUGGCGUGUGCCUGUGUCCCAGCUACUUGGGAGACUGAGGUGGGAGGACUGCUUGGGCCUGGGAUGGGGAAGCUGCAGUGAGCUGUGAUUGUGCCACUGCACCCCAGCCCGGGUGACAGAGCAAGACCCUAUCUCAAAACAACAACAACAACAGAAAAAACCACAACAAAGUACAUUCAUACUGCAAAGAGGCAAAGGGGGGCACAAGAGACUGCCACAUCACGUGCCCCCACAAGCAUGAGACAAAGAAAACAGGGAGGCAGCCACUGGAUACCUCUCGAGCAGCAACAGAGACGAGAGUGUCCAUGACCGCCAGGACUUCACUGAUGUUCAUCUUGGCCAGGUCGUUCUUCUCAGGUAAAAGAAGAAGGCCGCCUGGAUCCUUGUCACUGAAAGGAUACAAAUUAGUCAUGACACCUGGCUUCAGGAGAAAGAUUUUUAUACUAUUUUAAAAGAUUCCAAAACAGAGCGCAGAAAGGUUUCAGUGUCAUUUCCAUGGGAUGGGAGGAGUUUGGGUCAGGAAUACAGGCUGUGGACCCAGCUGGGGCUGUGCCGCUGUCUGUCCACAUGUGCUUCCAUUAGCACAGACUCACAAAUCCUCCAGUCCUGGAUGAGACCCUGAGGUAGAAGGCUGAUGAAUAAAUCACCUUGGCCACCAAUAUGAAAUACACCUCAUCUCACGACUGCUAGCUUCAAAGUCCUGGCUAAACGUUCCUUGUGUCUUCACAUGUCUUCACAGGACGGCCCCAGGCCCUUUCAGCAUCCUUGCUACUUGAUUCUGAGCACAUUUUAAACAGACAGCCCUCUAAGUCUGGCAUCCAUACCAGGUAUAGUCUGACUUGCAGGCAGUCGCUAAGGAUAUUAGUUCCCUUCCUCCUUCAAGAGUCAAUACUUCUAGUAAUGAAGCCUGUAGGCCCAUUUAGCUUCUCUGGUAGUUGAAACAGGCAAAAAUCUCGAAGACCUCCCCUCCCAGCACACUUCCUUCCACAAACUAUCAUUCUGGGCUUCUGUAGCUGGUUUUAACGUGACACGAAUACAAGACCCUACAUUCCUUUGGCUUCAGUUUUUGUUGUUAAACAUUACUUGGAAACUGAAGUGUUCAAAAAGACCCUCAACGGGCUCAAUCUGAAAUUGUCUUAAAAUGGAUGGGAACUGGAUUGGGCUGUCAACAAGAUUAUUAUUUUACCACUAUUUGGGUCACCCACAGAAACUCGGCUUUCUAACUGAGUGGCAGGAAGUACUACUUCGAAGGCACAUGAAAGGAAGGGCAAGCUCAAGAAAACAACUUUGCAAAGAUUUGAGUUAUCCGACAAUUAAAAAGAACGAUCAGCUUACCUAAAAUACGUGCACAGUGAACGGAAAGUGAGCUGCAGGGACUGCUUGUGCUCCUGCUCGGUGACAUUCUUCUAGAAAACCAGAAAUUGUAUAUUCAGAAAAUCUAGUCCAUGACAUUCCAGAGACCUAGAGCGGCAAUGAAACAUCACCACCCCACUGUUCUCAAGUAUGAGGAAUGCCAGGCCAGCAGACUACCUCACAGCACCCCACUAAAACCCGCUCAAGUACUAAGAUGGAGCAGAACCAACCAUCUAAAUACAAGGUGGUAGGUGCACUUGGUUCACUGCCAAAGUCAACAGAAGGUUCAAGUUUCCUGCUUAGGGAAAUGACCUCAUAAAGAGAUAUACUUUUUUUUUGAGACGGAAUUUCGCUCUUGUUGCCUGGGCUGGAGUGCAAUGGCGCGAUCUCAGCUCACUACAACUUCUGCCUUCCGCGUUCAAGCAAUUCUCCUGCCUCAGCCUCCCAAGCAUCUAGGAUUACAGGAGCCCACUACCACGCCUGGCUAAUUUUUGUAUUUUUAGUAGAGACGGGGUUUCACCAUGUUGGCCAGGCUGCUCUUGAACUCCUGACCUCAGGUGAUCCACCCACCUCUGCCUCCCAAAGUGCUGGGAUUACAGGCGUGAGCCACCGCACCCAGCUGAUAAUAUACUUUUUGCCAUUGGACAAGCCAUCUCAAGAGCAAUCACAGCUCUUAAGGGUAUGGUAUCCGAAGAUACUGAGGAGGCACCUGAUGGAGAGAGAAUCGCUCAGCACUAUACAGAAGGUUGGCAGUGCUAUUUAACUUCUCAGCAUGAGAAGACACCAAUGUCAUUCAAAACGUCAUGCGUCCUGUUUCUACUUUCUGUGUAGGACACAUGCUUGGAAAUUAAUCAUUUGCUCAGCUACCUGGUAAACACUUGCACCAAACAAGUAGGAUAGAGACCCACCCACAGUCCAGUGGCUCAGGUCAGCUGAUGCUGUCAAAGGUUAUGUAACUCACAAUGUGAGAAGUGAUUCCUCAGGCUGAUAUGCAAAUUUUAUAUAUAGCUGGAAUUACACAAACAAAUAUCCUUCCUCUUCUCUGAAACCUUCCUCAAUCACUUAGCCUCAACAUGAUUCUCCUCUUGCAUAUGGAAUAAGUUUUUCCUUGCGGCAGGUGUCCCCAAUUAGACUGCUGCUGCUGCCCUUUGUCAUCAGGGACCACAUUUUAUGCUUUUGUUCCUUUUUUUUUUUUUUUUUUGAGACGGAAUCUCGCUCUGUUGCCCAGGGUGAAGUGCAGUGGCGUGAUCUCCGCUCACCACAACCUCUGCCUCUCGGGUUCAAGCAAUUCUCCUGCUUCGACCUCCCGAGUAGCUGGGACUACAGGCAUGUGCCACCACGCCCGGCUUCCCUCCCUUAUUUCUAUAGGCCUUUGUGCAUCCCAUAGACCACUUUUCUUAUGUCUGCUCAUUGGCUGUUGCAUUAGAAACGCCUUUUUAAAAUGCUGUAUCUAGUUUCCUUUGUCAAAUUCUUUUAAAUAAUUCUAUUAGUUGCUUGACUACACAGACAAUAAAAAGUAAUCUAUAAUCAUAUCAAAACAAAUAAAUAUUUGUUUUAUUCUAUUAUUUUUAACACUUCUUUCCCUUGUCCUACAGCACUAGCUAGGCCCUCCAAUGCAACAUCAAAGAGAAGCAACGACAGUAAGCAUCCUUGUCUUAUUCCGCAUUUUGAGAGGAAUGCUUCUAGUGAUCCAUCAAAUACAUUGCUUAUUGUGGGUUUUCGAUACAUGCCCUCUACCAGAUUGAAGGAGUUUCUAUUUUGAGUUUGCUAAUGAAAACAUAUUGUUUCAUUGUUUUAAUCAUCAGAAUUUAAUCUUAUUAAAAUAUUUUCUGCAUUUAGUGAUUUUUUUUUUUCCUCUCUGAUUCCAUUUACAUAUUUUCUACUGCUGAACCAUCACUGGAUUUCCAGCAUAAAUCCAACUUGGCCAUAAUUUUGUUUAUAUGUUGUUGCACUGGUUAAUUAAUAUUUCAUUAGGGUUCUUCUAACUAUGUUCAUAAGUAAGAGUGGCCUAUAAUUUUGCUGUCUUGUACACAUUUCUCUAAUUUGUCCCCUUGGUAUACUUACACUUCCCUGUGUUUUACCAUCAUUGUAACACAGGAACCUGUGAAGUUCCUCUACCUAGGUGUUUUUGAUAUGGCCUAGAGAGAAAAAGUUUUGUUUUGUUUUACAUUUUUUCAUGUAUCAUACUCAUUUUCAUACAGAAAUACUUCC